rnacentral:rRNA from 1 species
CCCUUAGAUGAUUUGGGCUGCACGCGCGCUACACUGACGAAGGCAACGAGCUUUCCUUUACCGAAAGGUACGGGUAAUCUUUUGAAACUUCGUCGUGCUGGGGAUAGAUCCUUGCAAUUUUUGAUCUUAAACGAGGAAUGCCUAGUAAGCGCAAGUCAUCAACUUGCGUUGAUUACGUCCCUGCCCUUUGUACACACCGCCCGUCGCUACUACCGAUUGAAUGGUUUAGUGAGGCCUUCGGAUCCGCGACUCGUUUGUGGAGAAGUUGGACAAACUCAGUCAUUUAGAGGAAGUAAAAGUCGUAACA